rnacentral:miRNA from 1 species
GUUUCAUGUGAUAUAGGUUAA